CCCCGCUGGGCACUGCUUCACGGCGUGCGCGGCGGGGCCGGCCCUGCUGAAUUAUUCACCCGUGUCUUUUGCGUACUUCUUGUUUCCUGGGUGGGCUCGCCCGCCCUCAGGACCAACCACAAACCUUUUGCAAUAGCAAUCAGCGUCAGUAACAACGUAAUUAAUUACAACUUUCAACAACGGAUCUCUUGGUUCUGGCAUCGAUGAAGAACGCAGCGAAAUGCGAUACGUAGUGUGAAUUGCAGAAUUCAGUGAAUCAUCGAAUCUUUGAACGCACAUUGCGCCCUUUGGUAUUCCAAAGGGCAUGCCUGUUCGAGCGUCAUUUGUACCCUCAAGCUUUGCUUGGUGUUGGGCGUCUUUUGUCUCCAGUUCGCUGGAGACUCGCCUUAAAGUCAUUGGCAGCCGGCCUACUGGUUUCGGAGCGCAGCACAAGUCGCGCUCUUCGCCAGCCAAGGUCAGCGUCCAGCAAGCCUUUUUUUCAACCUUUGACCUCGGAUCAGGUAGGGAUACCCGCUGAACUUAAGCAUAUCAAUAAGCCGGAGGA
rnacentral:rRNA from 1 species